UUGCCACAUAAGGCACAGGACACCAAACACGACACACCAGGCACAACACACCAGCCAAAGCACACUCGGCACCACGCGGCAGGCACAACGCAGCUGGCACAGCGCAGCAGACACAGCCAGCCAGGUCCACGCACCAUCUACACAUGCUUUAAGGUAGUAGCAAUCUGCUCUGCUUGGGAAAAGCCUUUCUGAAGGUUAUAAUCCCAUCUUCUCUGCCUGCAAGCUCGAGCCUUUGUUAAUUGAGGAUCUACUGCAUGCAAAGGUCUGGAGUGCAAGAAGGAGCCGGAUCAGCUCCGGAUGGAACAGAUACCAAUACUUAAAAAAAAAAAACAAAACAAACAAACAAACAAAAAAAAAACCCUUCAAAGCAUAGAAGCGGACCCAAUCCUGGAUCUUCUAAGAUGGCAUAUCUGAAAGAGACGGUUGAGUGAAAGACCCAGAGACUGAGGACUGGGGAUUGAACCUGGGUCUCAAGAUGUGCUGGGCAAACACAAUAACGGCUGAGCCCCUCACUGGGGAAUUGGAGACCAGCUGGCUAUACUACUGAGUGGUGACCUCAGAUCCGACCUCCAGGCACAUAGGCCCCGCAGAAGGUCCCUCAGCAGGCAGCAGGGACCCCAACCUAUGCUUCCUUCUUCUCCAGCUUGGCAAAACCCAACCCUGUUGGCUUCGGUGACCUUUCCUGGAUCGCUGGCGGAGCGAGGACAAGCAAGGCUACUGUGUGAAGCCUACUGAAGACCUUGAGGGAACCACAGUAAACAUUGCAACCGUGUUUGAUGAAGAACUUGGCUUUGGGUCCUGCCAGCAGGAAGAGCUCAAACUGGCUUGGCAAGGGCAGGCAGGCCUGAGGCACAGCUUGGCUGCAGGGCCUGGGAAGGAACUCUGAGACGACUGUGCACUCGAGAGGAACUUGGAGCCUUCUCUCCCAAAGCAGCUACCCACCUUCUUUGUAUCUCUAAGCUCCUAGGAGCUUGGCUGGAGGUAGUAACAUAUUAAUGAUAAGAACGCAAAUUAAUUAAUCCUC
rnacentral:lncRNA from 1 species